rnacentral:tRNA from 1 species
GGGGAUGUAGCUCAGUGGCUGAGCACUUGCCUAGCAUGCAUAAGGCCCUGGGUUCAAUCCCCAACACCUCA